rnacentral:lncRNA from 1 species
AAAGAUUUAUUUAUUUUAUGUGCAUGAGCGUUCUGCCCGCAUGUAUGUGUUUACACCACACAUGCGCCUUCAGAGUUCAGAAGACGGGGCAUCCUUCUCUGGAACUGGGGUUACAGGCAGUUGUCAGCGGCCAUGUGGGUGCUGGGAUCUGAACCCAGGUCCUCUGCAAGAGCAGCAAAUGCUCUCAGCUGCUGAGCCAUCUCUCUAGCCUCGUCUACUUUUUUAAAAAAAGAUUUAUUUAUUUAUUUAUUAAGAUUUAUAUACUUAUUGUAUAUAAGUAUACUGUAGCUGUCUUCAGACACACCAGAAGAGGGCAUCAGAUCCCAUUACGGAUGGUUGUGAGCCACCAUGUGGUUGCUGGGGAUUGAACUCAGGACCUCUGGAAGAGCGUUCAGUACCCUUAACCACUGAGCCAUCUCUCCAGCCCUCAAGUCUACUUUUUC